AUUUAUAGUUACAUUUUCCAAGCUGAAAUGAAAAUUGAGAUAGAACCGUAUUUCGAAUAGUUAAAGAAAUUAACAAUGGUUUCUAUGCAAUUCGUGUUGCAACCACUUCCAGGAACUGAUGAACAAUUCAUUGAAAGAAUACGAGAAGUCUCUGAUAAAGUAAACCGCUUCGGUUCUGGGACUCAUAGAAUAUUUGAGCAAUUGAAAAUACCAGUAAGGGAGGUGGUAAUUGGACCUAAUCAUAUUGGAGUACUUCUGGAAGAUGGAAAAGCGUUCCGGGUCGCCUUCUCUAUCAAUUCUGAAAAGCUUGAUUUGACUAAAUCUGACAAUAAGUGUACUCCAUCUGGUGGAGUUGCAGCAGCAAAUGCUCCAAAGGCACCGUCAUCUUCUCGGCCUAUGGCUCGCUCUCGAGCUCGGCUUCUGCGAGCAACAGGUAGGACCAGCUCAAGUGGACAAGGCUCCGGAUCUAGAAGUACAGGUGUAAUAAUUGGAGGUAGCUCCUCUAAUCGACCCCUAGUAACAGUGCCAGCCACCUAUGUGCCUGAGGAGCUUAUAUCUCAAGCAGAAGUGGUAUUACAAGGCAAGAGUAGGAAUCUAAUUAUAAGAGAACUUCAGCGCACAAAUCUUGAUGUGAACUUAGCUGUGAAUAAUUUGCUUUCCCGAGAUGAUGAAGAGGCAGAAGAUACAGAAGAGGGUGGAGACAACUAUGUUCCAGAAGACCUAAUUUCACUAUUGGACAAUGGAUUUUCCGGUGACAAUAAUAGCGUCAUAAUCGAUCCAUCAGACGGCCUUUUCUCAGAGGAAAUAUUUAGUAAUUAUUCGAGCAUUAGAAAUCUACUUUUCGAUCGAAUUCGUAGCGAACGAAACAACGCAAGCUCGAGUAGCGCAGAUAAUAACCAGUCUAAUAGAACAUCGGCAUCUUCCACCGGUGUUAUAGCAGGAAAUGCCAGUCUUUCAGCUCAGAUAACUUCUGCCAAUGCUGAUCGCGAAGCAUUUAGCCGCUGGCGUGAUCGUCAGUACUAUGGCCCCCGCCGUUGGAUUAGUAAAGAUGAAUACACGUGGGAUAAAGAUACUGAUCCCAAAAAGAAAGAACCCUCUUCAAUGCCCUCGCCAAUAUGGAUAUCAGAAGAAUUGCAACCAUGGCCUGAUAAAGUUUUCAUUCGAUUUAAGACUAUUGGAGCGUUGUAUUCCGAAUUUAUUGCGCUCUCAGAAAAUGGAGAAUUGCAUCAAUGGCGCUGGUCGGACUUGGAGCCCUACAAAUCAGAUACGGACAAUGUUUAUCAUCCAAAAACCUUGACACUUAACAUUACUGAAAAAGUGGAGCUUAUUUCAGCAAAUUUUAUAAGAUGUUCUAUAGUAACUGAGUCAAAUCGAGUAGCCACUUGGAUGGACGAACAACUGGGAUAUCUCGGAGCUAAAUUAGAGCACGCAGCUACAGCUUUUAAUGAGUUCAACAUGGAUCCUAUUACAACAAUACAUGUUUGCUCGUUAUACACAGCCGUUAGAACCGAUAAUAAUAAUAUUUAUUGGUGGGGAGUUCUCCCAUUCGAUCAACGCCGCUACUUAUGGGAUAAAUUUCGAACAAAAACAAAAAAACCAUUUAAAAUGAUUGUGGCUGAUAUUAACGUGGGAUCACAAGUUGUUAUGAAAAAGUGUCCUAUUUACCAAACAGGAUCAAUUGGUUUUACCUGCACCAAUGGUGUACCCAAAGUUGGACAGUUAUUAAACUCUGUGUGGGAUUUCGCAGACGUUUGCCGGAUGAAAAUCUUAAAUGUUGGUUCAACUUUAGGAUCCGAUAAAUGUCAGACGACUGGAACGAUUGCUAAUGAUAAGGAUAUUUCUAAGACAGCACCUAUACAAGCUACAAGUUCUAACAAGAGUGGACAAAUAAGUUCAACAAGUAAAGAGUCAACUGAUCGUAUUGACAUGCCUCCACCGCCUUCGCCAGCGUCUAGCACUUGUAGUGAUACCGGCAGUGUUACUUCACACAAGCGCACUAAAAGAAUGACUGCUAAAGAAGAUGGUAACAGUUGCCAAGAGGGCAGAAAAGAUGAGGAACUAUGGCAACUUAAAGACGUUGUCUUCGUAGAGGACAAAGUGGGCCCGGUUGGAAAAGUUCUUAAGGUUGAUGGCGACUAUGUUGCGGUCCGAUUUCCACCAUUAAGCUGCGUCGGUGGUGCUAGCGGCUUAGCCAGUAAAGAUGAUGGAAAAGAGGAUGACUGGCAACAGUGCCGUCUAUUGCGACGCGAAGAUGUCCAAGUCUAUCGAACUGCAGUUUCGUCGCGAGGACCAGAUUGGUUACAAAAACAACCAAAGAAAAUAAAUAUUGGUGCCGAUCCAGCGAGCGCUCAGCUUCUUACAAUAGCGGUUGAUACCCGUGGUAUUCAUGUGAUUAAAAAGGUGUUCGGGAAAAUACAUUAUAGCCUUUAUAACUUAUACAACAGCAAGCAAGAACAAAACUGCCAAUUUCCCACAGACUGUGCAUCAUUUAUAGGCGCGUCUACCAAUAACAUUACAAUGGCCUGCAAUAAUGAUUGCAACGGUAACAGCAGUACAAUUGUGUUGAGAGAUGGCAAUGGAGCACUUUAUCCACUGGCUAAGGACUGUAUCGGCUCAAUAAAAGACCCUCAGUGGUUCGAUUUGCCGCCAGUUAGAUCUGUUACUAUGGCCACAAUAUCGCUCCCGCCGUCAGUAUCUUGCAUUAAUCUUAAGUCAAAAGUUUGCAUGACUGCACUGCUUUUUGAAACCCAAAAACUUAUGCCACAUAUACUGAGAUGUGAUGUUAAAAACUGCAUAGCUGUCUUGAUGCGACUUGAAAAAGAAGAUCGCAAAGAUACGAUUUCUGUUGUUGAAGAACGUUGCGAUGGUAACCGGAACAUAUUUCAUGCCUGUGUAGUGAUGUGUGCUCCAACAUCUAACAAGGACACACAACAUUUAUCAGACCUUACCAACAGUAGCUCAGAAAAAAAAACUGCCACUUCUGGAGUUACAAUGCCACGUGCAGGACCGUCUUUAUCAUACGGCAGCGCAUUUGGAAAUGGGAACAAUUUAAACGAGAAUUCUAGCUUCGCUACGGUCCCAGGUGGCAUCAGUACAUCAACUACUGCAUCAUUAAACAGAGAAACCCGAAUAAGUCUUCGUGACAUGAUGCAUCGACUUAUUAAUACAGAACAGGCAGAGCAGAAUAGUCAAUCAGCGACAAGUGCAGGGGAGGAUCAUGCCUAUAUUCCAUUACCCUGGUCCCUUGAAUCAGGAACGGCUAGCAACCUUAGCACAACCGGAGCUCAAAAUGUAGCGGAUAUGGUUGAAGAAGAUGUUUUGAAAAUAUUGCCGUCGUCGUCCCAAAACAUUAGUGUAUCAAACAGUAAAAUGGGAACUCCAAAUUAUACAUUGGACCUAUUACAACGACGUGAACACGCCAUUCUGAUCCUUCAACAUAUGUGUGCCAGUGUUGCUAUGCGACCUUACCUUUACCAAAUGCUAAGCGCCAAGGAUGGUCAAGGUCAAACCGCAUUCAUGCUUGCUGUUUCAUGUCGCGCUUACGAAGCUGGUAUAAUAAUAUUAAAUACAAUUCUUAGUGUUUCUGAUCAUGACACGCAUCUUAAGGAAGCAAUGAUUUUCCCCAGUGGGUCGCCAGCUGAUCAAUCCCCUCUUCAUGUUAUUUGCUAUAACGAUACAUGCUCCUUCACUUGGACAGGUGCAGAUCAUAUAAACCAAAACAUAUUUGAGUGUAAGACUUGCGGCUUAACUGGUUCUCUAUGUUGCUGCACUGAAUGCGCUCGUGUCUGUCACAAGGGGCACGACUGCAAACUUAAACGCACGGCGCCGACAGCUUACUGUGACUGCUGGGAGAAGUGCAAAUGUAAAGCACUUAUUGCAGGAAAUCUAACUAAGCGGUUUGCAUUACUCUGCAAACUUGUAUCUUGCACUGAUUUGGUCACAAAAUUUAACUCAAAGGGUGAAUCCAUAUUGCUAUUUCUCAUUCAGACUGUGGGGCGGCAGAUAGUCGAGCAAAGGCAAUACCGCUUCAAUGUAAGAGUGCGUAAUGUAGGUAACACAGGAAAUGCAAGUGGAAGCAACACAGUCAUAACGAAUAGAAAAUCUUCAUCUCUAGACAUCGAUAGUGACAUGCCUGACCAUGAUCUCGAGCCACCUAAAUUUGCCAGAAAAGCUUUAGAACGUCUUUUGAUUGACUGGCAAGCGGUUCGUUCAAUGAUUAUGAGCGGCGCAGAAAUAAAUGAAGCUAAUAUAAAUAUACACGGAAAUGUUGGCGAAGGAGGUAACUCUGAAAGUUUCAAUGUUUUUAUGCAAUCUCAGCAUGGUUCCACACUACUGGACAAGUUUACUCACAGCUUGAUAGUAAAAUGCACAAGCGAUCAUUUAGAUACCUUGCUGCUGACGCUCGUGCGGGAGUUGCAAAAUGUAGUUGUUGUUGAACGAUGUAAAGAAGCAGAGGAAGUUGCACGACGUUUUGUACGGUCUGUGGCGCGUGUGUUUGUAAUUUUUAAUUUGGAGAAACAACCAAACCCAGAGAAACGAAAGAGUCACACUUCAUGCAACAAAUAUGUUCAAAGUUGUGUUAAGGUGUUUCAGACGCUGCACAAAAUCUCAAUUGAGGAGUUGUGCGAGGUAUCUGAAGCCUUGAUAGCACCAGUAAGACUUGGUGUCGUGCGACCUACAGCUCCGUUUACAAUGUCUUCAUCAAAUUUGGAUAAUUCAGAUGAUUUGUUUAGCGUAGAGCCACUGGCACCUUCUAAUGUUGAGUCAACUGCUGAGCAGAUCGUAGUACAUAACGUUAUCAAUGUGCAAAAUCCAAACUUUAAUGUUCAACAAAAUUAUGAUGUGGUUGCUAUGGACACGCUUAGAGAUGCUUCUGAAUCAGAAGAAAUUCCAAACCGUGAAUCUAAUUUGAGUAGCCAUGAUGAUGAUUUGAUAGAGAACCAGCGGAAUGAAGAAGGAAUGCAGGAUGAUGAAAGUGAUAACGAUUUCACAUUUAAUGACGCCGAAACGGAAUCUGAUUCGGAUGACAAUCAAAGCAAUCAAGAUGCACAAAGGAGCGCUCAAACAGGUGCAACUGUUGGUUCUGAAACAGACAUAGGAGUUCUUUUUCUGGAAGACGAAUCUGGCGAUUCCUCUGCCCAAGAGGAAGAUGGUUCUGAAGAUGGUGAAUCGGACGAUCAAUCGGAUGAAUUUAGUUUUAACGAUCAGCAGCUUGAGCGCCGUAACAUUAAUCCUAACUCACGCAACGAUCUCACCCCGCAAACAAUGCAAUGGGCAAUCAGAAGUCGCGACAAUGCCCGUUCUUCGGUUCGCGUUCCUACUGGUUCCAAUCUAGUUUUUAUUGAUCCUAUGGCGUUGCGCCGAUCUACUGUGCCAGCCAGCACUGCGGUCAAUACGCCAUCUGCCGAGUCACAUACAAUGGCGACUACUGCAAGCAAUUUAGGUCGAGCUUUUGGUAUAACAAUUCGACAAAUAUCUGAACUUUUAGCAAUUAUGUCAUACAAUGUGAUGAAUGAUAUUGAAACAUCUUUAAAAAUUCACAUUGAAGAAGCUGUUGCAGUUCAAGCAUUUGUUGAAAAAAGAUUGAAACCAACUUGGGACUGGAUGUUUACCGUGAUGGACGGAACAGAGGCGCAGUUGAAAUUCGGUGCAUAUUUGACGAACUAUACAGAUCCAAAUCAUCCGUUGCAUCCCCUCAAUCUUAGCGCACAAGCGGUAACAAGCCAAGCUUCUACUUCGACUUCUUCAACUGUGGGCGUGAAUGUGAUUGGUUCAAGUUCUCGACGAGAUUUCUUUACAUAUUGUCUUUCAUUAAUGCGCGCUCACACAUCGGAGCAUAGAGAUGCACUGCCGGUAUUAGACAUAACAGCAUUACGGCAUAUUUCGUACGUGCUUGAUGCAUUCAUAUACUAUAUGCGCAAUGAUACCAGCUUUUACGAUAAAAACGAUUCUAUUUCUGGACGAGUAAAUAACUUAUCGAAUUUUGUCGAAACCGAUGAUACUGACGAUGAAUUAUGCAACAUUGGAGAUUCCAACACCGAAAGACAGUGUCCUACCAAUUCGUCGUCCAACAUAAAUAUUCGCAAAUCCGCAUUCUUCACCAGAUCCGACUCAACUCUUAGUUUGGGCUGCUCUGCACCAGAAGGAUUCGAUCUUCCACUUGAUAUGGCUAUGCCACUAGCUGACAAACCACAUUUACUGCAGCCAAAUUCAAAGCGACAGGAACUUUUUGCUAAUCUUCCACUGCAUACAGUUACUACUGUAAAACACAGCACAGUCAAAAGUAACAUAUGCCAUCAGGGAUCUAUUGACGAACCUCCUACAAGGUUAGGAUUCUCGAAUUUUAUGAAAUCCGAUGCUUCUGCAAAUGCGAUUGAUGUGACUCACCAUACUACAGAACACGAAAAUAAUGUAGAAACGGUCGAAAUAAAUGAUGACAGCAGAACAUAUAAAGACGAAGACACUGCAGAUUCAAAUAUUUACGUUCAAUUAAAGAAAAAACAGGGCUUAGAUGACUUAAAACUACAGAAAGGAACUGAAGACAACAUGGAUACAGAGGAUGUACAAAUGAUUGAUGUUAUGGCAGGUCCGAAUACAGCGACAGAUCUUUUAAUAACAACUCGACCAGAAGUUAUUAUUGCACCAAGCCAAAAUCGCAUUGGUAUUACAGAUGAUGUUGUGCCAAUACAGAGCUCCUUAUCAGUAUCAGCAGUUCGAAGCGUUAUUGUACGAGCUGGAACAUCUACUCUUAAACUAGAAUCGGAUGACAGUAGUUUGCCCGAAUGUAAAAAUGCAUCGGCUACUGGAAUACAACUAAAAUGUGAUAAUUGUCGAGAAAAAGCACCAUCCCAGGCAGCAAUGUUUCCUAUUCGUGGCUCUUUGUUUUACAAGAGCAGUACUUCAGAACUGCCAUCGUGGAACUUUCUGUUAAGUCGAUGGAAACUGGCUCUUGAUCUGUUCGGACGUGUUUUUAUGGAUGAUGUAGGUAUGGAACACGGAUCUGUAUUGCCAGAAUUGAGAGGCUUUCCUGUUAAGGAAAUGCGCUUUAGAAGACAUAUGGAAAAGCUCCGAAAUGGACAACAGCGCGACUUGGUUCUUUGUAAACUUGAACGAAAUAGAGAAAGUUUAAUUAUCCAAACUUUUAAAGAAUUAAAUGCUCAGUUCGGAACCCAAAAUCGACGAGCUCAGCCACCCAUUACAUUUAACAGAGUUAAGGUGACAUUUAAAGAUGAACCAGGUGAAGGAUCAGGAGUGGCGCGAAGCUUUUAUACUUCUAUUUCGGAAGCGCUGUUAGCCAGUGCAAAAAUGCCAAAUCUCGAUUCUGUGCAAGUGGGAGGUACUCAUAGUAAGUACGGGGUACCAUUCUCAAGCAUACUGCGUAGCAGAACCGUUUCUGCCUCAAGUCGUGAUCCACCCACACUGCAGCGGCGAGGAACUGGUAGUAAAAUAUUAUGGCGCACAGCUCGGGAGCGUAAGGCAUUAAAUGCCGAUGCCAGACCGUACAACCCAUCUAGCAAUGGAGAUAACACAGCGACGGAGAGCUCGAACGACCAUUUAUCUGUCCACCUCCAACAACUUGGCGAGCGUCUCUAUCCAAAGAUCCACUCAAUAAACUCAUCGCACGCAGCGAAAAUAACAGGCAUGCUUCUGGAAAUACCAACCCCUCAACUACUAUCUGUCCUGUCUUCAGAUGAGACACUAAGGCAAAAAGUUAACGAAGCCGUUGACAUCAUAAAUUUUAAACAAAAAUCCGAAAUAAACAUACAAAGCCAACAAAAAAAAUCACCAUCUGCGGCACUUGUUGAACCGAUGGAAGACGAUAAUGAGCCAUUAUUUUACUCUCCGGGUAAACGUGGCUUUUAUACCCCACGACAAGGGCUUGCGUCUUUUGAACGAAUUAAUGCAUUUAGAAAUAUUGGCAGGCUUAUCGGGCUAUGUCUAUUGCAAAAUGAAUUACUCCCGCUGUUCCUUCAAAGACAUGUGUUAAAGUACAUGCUUGGUCGAAAAAUCAAAUUUCAUGACCUUGCCUUCUUCGAUCCAGCGUUGUAUGAAUCAUUUAGACAAAUUAUACAAAAUGCCCAAACUAAAGAAGGAGAAGAAACCAUCAACCGAAUGGAGCUUAGUUUUGUAAUUGAUUUGAUGAAAGAAGAAGGUUGUGGCAACCGUGAAUUAAUCCCUGGCGGACGCGAUGUGCCAGUAACGUCAAAUAACAUAUUCGAAUAUAUAAGGCGUUACACGGAAUAUAGGCUCAUUAAAUCACAAGAGAAGGCACUCGAGGCUUUAAAAGACGGUAUUUUUGAUGUCUUACCAGACAAUUGUAUGAACAGCUUGACCGCUGAAGAUUUACGUUUACUCUUGAAUGGUGUGGGCGAUAUCAACGUUUCAACACUGAUUUCCUAUACAACUUUUAAUGACGAAUCAAGUGAAGGUCCUGACAAACUUUUAAAAUUUAAAAGAUGGUUUUGGAGUAUUGUGGAAAAAAUGAAUACGUUAGAGCGACAAGAUUUGGUAUAUUUUUGGACAGGAUCUCCAGCUUUGCCAGCUUCAGAAGAAGGAUUUCAGCCUCUACCAUCUGUUACCAUACGACCUGCAGAUGACUCACAUCUUCCUACUGCAAACACUUGUAUAUCUCGACUGUAUAUCCCUCUUUAUUCCAGCAAAUCAAUUUUACGUAGUAAAAUGCUGAUGGCCAUUAAAUCCAAAAACUUUGGGUUCGUGUGAGCAAAUAAUUACCAAUCUUUGGUUUAUGUUAAUAAUGACGGUUAUUUGCUUAUUAUGAAUUUCUUGGUAUAUGAGAAAUUUUUAGAUAUUCCACAAUUGUAACGAAUCAUAUAUUUCUGUUUUAAGAUAACGUCUUUGAAGAGGAAAUCAUGAGGUCAUUCCUUCCUUGAUAUAGUUCGACUGGAUACACAACACUAAGGAAUUGUUAAAAUGAACAAAGAUUAAGAUGUAGGAGUUAGGUCAAGUUUGCUUUUAUUAUUACAUUUAUUUGAAUGUAGGAAAUGUAAUAAACUACAAUAUAUAAAUAUGUAUAUUAACCAGGGAAUAAAAAUAUCAUGGUA
rnacentral:misc_RNA from 1 species